rnacentral:lncRNA from 1 species
CCAUAGCUGGCUGCCGCCAUGUUGAUUGUGGCGUCCUUCGCUGCUCCGUCCACAGUGUUCCGGCACAGCCAUUCUGUACUAAAGAGCUGGUGCGACGCCUCUGCUACGGGAUUCUGGGAGCAAGCGAAACGAGGCUAAGCAGGAAGGAGGAAAAGAAGGUUAGACUUUGUUUUACUAUCUACUUUCUAUUUUUAUUUCCAGAGAGUUGUUAAUGGGCUUUACCAGCGACGGUAACAGAGCAGUACAACCUAGUAUUUGAAAAGUUUAAUUGCUGGCAUUACCACUGAGUAACAGUGUACCUUAAACAAAUUCCUUUCGUGUGUGUGUGUGUGUGUGUGUGUGUGUGUGCGCGCGCGUGCGCGCUCUGAUUCGCUCACGUGAAAGUAGAAUAAUUAUAUCUACGUUAUAGAGCUUUAGUGAGAAUUAAAGGAGGUAACUCAUUUAAAGAACUUAAAGUAGAACUUGACACAUAAAGUGCAAGUUGAACAAAUAUGCAUCUGUUAUCAUAUGGGCAGGAUCCUUUCUUAAAACGCUGAUUUGCGUGGGAAGAGGUGGUAACACCUCAAAGCGGAGGAUUGAGGGAGGAGUCUGACUCAAACUAGAGAGGCUCCCAGACUCUCUGAACAUUCUGAGCAUGGCUCAUCCCCAUACCUAAAGAGACUCUGUGUGUUAAGAUAGUUAUUAUAUGACUAUAUGGUGUAUUUCUUAGCAUCUAAUUACGAAGGAGUCAAAUUCAUCUUUCAGUGGUCAGCACAAUGCCAAGCACAGUAAACAUGGAAUAACUACUCGGUAACUGGCGGUCAAGGAAAUGAGUAAACAAUUCAUUGAAGAACAAAAUACUCGUAUAUGCAAAAUUAGAUGUGCCAUUGGCACAAACAGCAUUUUGUCUCAUUCUCAUAUAGCUUUUGCAGUGUUUGGCACUGAAGACAACUGUCGGGUCAUGGCACAUGAUGGGAGAACCCCAAAGGGACCGAGUAUGAAGUUUUCAUUAGCUAAGUGGGAUAGGACAUGUGAUCACCUUUAAGCUGAUUUAAAAAAGAGAUUCGCAACUGUUGUAUUCAGUGUUUAAGAAGUAAUGUAUUCCCCUUUUCAACGGUCUUGAUACUUCACUUUAAAUGCACAGGUGCGUGUGUGUGUGUGUGUUCACGCGCACACACACACACUUGCCUAGGUGCAAAUACACAAAUAUAUCACAGUUACAAUAUCCCUUGAUUAAUUGGGGGGGUAAAUGCUAUAUAACAAGCUACCUCAAAACUUAGCAGUUUAAAAUGAUGUACAUUUAACUCAUGAAUCUGUGGUUUGGUCAGAGUUUGGCAGGGAACUCUAUUUUUACUUUAUCUUUUUAAGGCAAUACCCAUGGCAUAUGGAACUUCCUGGGCUAGAGGUUGAAUUGGAGCUGCAGCUGCUAGCCUACACCACAGCCACAGCAAUGCUGGAUCCGAGCUGCGUCUACAACCUACGCCACAGCUUGUGGCAACACCAGAUCCUUAACCCACUGAGCACUGAGUGAGGCCAGGGAUCAUACCCUUUCCUCAUGGAUACUAUGUCGGGUUCUUAACCUGCUGAGCCACAGCGGCUAUGCUGCAAGCUAGGGACCUUAGUUUUUUCCACAUGGGGUCUCUUUAUAGACUGUCGUCAUUCACAGCAAUGGAGGCUGUGUUCCAGGAGUGAGCUUCCUAAGAGGACCAAGUAGAUGCUAAGUUUUAUGGUCUAGUCUCAGAAAACAUGUAAUGUCACUGCUGUUAUAGGCCACUAGAUUCAACAACAUACAGACUGUCCCCAUACUCCCCCUGCCCCCAAGCUCCAGAGGAGGAGUAUCAGUGUCACAUUGUAAGAGGAAUGUGUGGAAUGGGAGAUCUUGUUGUGGCUGUCUUGGAAAGUAGGGUCACCGCUUGGAGAAAUGCUAGUUCAAGUUCUAAGGUCCCAAAGUGACAAGAAUAUUCUGGUAUAUAGGAAAUAUUAUCUGGAAGAGGUAUAUUCAAAUAGAGGAGAUAUUUUUAUUGAGAUUGUGAAAAGAUGGUUUUAACAUGUUAAAUGUGCUAUGAUACUUAGAUUUGAAGGAAGUUCCCCAAAAGAUGAAUAGGGCAAAGGGAAGGGGGCAUUAACUGGCUUAGGUAAUUUAGCAUGAAGAGCUGAGUGUUAACAGUUUAAAAAAUAAAAUUAGGAAUUGUGCAGCAGCUUCAUGUGGGAGAUCUCAGUUCCCAGGCCAGGGGUUGAACCCAGGCUGCAGCAGUGAAAACACUAAAUCCUAACCACUGGACCACCUUUUUAAUUGAAGUAUAGUUGAUGUACAAUAUUAUAUUAGUUUCAGGUAUACUGUAUACUGAUUUAACCUUUUCGUGCAUUAUGAAAUGAUCACUAUGAUCAUUAGUUACUGUCUGUCCUCAUACAAAGUUAUUACAGUAUUAUUGACCACAUUCUUUAUGCUAUAUAUCACAUCUCUGUGACUUAUCUAUUAUGUAUCUGGAGGCUUGUGCCUCUUAAUACCAGAAGGGGAUAUUCUGAACAGUCAAAGGCCUUCAGCUGUAACUCCUUUGAUAUAGCAUAAAGUACGCAUAGCUAAACCUAAUUUUUCUCUGUGACUGAACAAAAUUUUCCAUCAUAACCAGAGUUUCAGAAAAAUCUAACCCACCAAAUAGAAAGUAGACAGGAAAAUCAUAGGAAAAUCUAUAUCUGAAGUAUGUAUCAGCAUUUUUUGUUAGUAAAUAUUUAUUUAACCUCUCACAGGUGAAAUAUAAAUAAUGACUGCAGUUUUCCUUCAAGGCAGAUUAGAGUUCAGCUUUGAAUAGUAUUCAACAAAUCAAAUGCCAGCAGCUUUGACCACUCUGCCAGAGGAGAGGCAUUUAAAUGGUUUUUAAAAAUUAUCUAUUUUAGGACUUUGCAUGGAAACCCAGCAAAAUCAGUUUGCUAAAAUAUAUAUCAGCUGGCCUGAGUGACUCUUCAUAGUAUCUGCCUGCAUCUGCUUUAUUCACAACUGAACUGCUAUUGAUUUGUGUAAUGAAGUAAUAUCAUGCAGGUGAUAGUUUUCCCCAAAGCCAUACCCUUUCUGUCUAGGAUUUGGGGUGGAAAACAGAGACCAAUAACAAUACAUUUUCUUCUUCAAAAUAUAUUUGUUACUUUCAAUUUCCUUCCUCCUACCCAAAGAAGACUGUCAAAGACAAGUUAUGAUUCAACAUGGCAUUUUUUUCUCCUUAUGAAAUGUUACCUGGCAGAUAGAAUCUUCCCUGGCAAAGGAGAGGAUAAUCAUGGUUGAAGUAUAGCUGAUAUACAAUCUUAUGCUUGUUUCUUCCUUACUAGCAUCUGAAAAGUACUCCAUCAUUCUUUUCCCACAAUUACAUUCUAACUGAUCCCUUAGGCUCCCAUAAUUUCCUCUUGUUUG